rnacentral:rRNA from 1 species
GCGUGCUUAACACAUGCAAGUCGAACGGAAAGGCCCUGCUUUUGUGGGGUGCUCGAGUGGCGAACGGGUGAGUAACACGUGAGUAACCUGCCCUUGACUUUGGGAUAACUUCAGGAAACUGGGGCUAAUACCGGAUAGGAGCUCCUGCUGCAUGGUGGGGGUUGGAAAGUUUCGGCGGUUGGGGAUGGACUCGCGGCUUAUCAGCUUGUUGGUGGGGUAGUGGCUUACCAAGGCUUUGACGGGUAGCCGGCCUGAGAGGGUGACCGGCCACAUUGGGACUGAGAUACGGCCCAGACUCCUACGGGAGGCAGCAGUGGGGAAUAUUGCACAAUGGGCGGAAGCCUGAUGCAGCAACGCCGCGUGCGGGAUGACGGCCUUCGGGUUGUAAACCGCUUUCGCCUGUGACGAAGCGUGAGUGACGGUAAUGGGUAAAGAAGCACCGGCUAACUACGUGCCAGCAGCCGCGGUGAUACGUAGGGUGCGAGCGUUGUCCGGAUUUAUUGGGCGUAAAGGGCUCGUAGGUGGUUGAUCGCGUCGGAAGUGUAAUCUUGGGGCUUAACCCUGAGCGUGCUUUCGAUACGGGUUGACUUGAGGAAGGUAGGGGAGAAUGGAAUUCCUGGUGGAGCGGUGGAAUGCGCAGAUAUCAGGAGGAACACCAGUGGCGAAGGCGGUUCUCUGGGCCUUUCCUGACGCUGAGGAGCGAAAGCGUGGGGAGCGAACAGGCUUAGAUACCCUGGUAGUCCACGCUGUAAACGGUGGGUACUAGGUGUGGGGUCCAUUCCACGGGUUCCGUGCCGUAGCUAACGCUUUAAGUACCCCGCCUGGGGAGUACGGCCGCAAGGCUAAAACUCAAAGGAAUUGACGGGGCCCCGCACAAGCGGCGGAGCAUGCGGAUUAAUUCGAUGCAACGCGUAGAACCUUACCUGGGUUUGACAUGGAUCGGGAGUGCUCAGAGAUGGGUGUGCCUCUUUUGGGGUCGGUUCACAGGUGGUGCAUGGCUGUCGUCAGCUCGUGUCGUGAGAUGUUGGGUUAAGUCCCGCAACGAGCGCAACCCUUGUUCACUGUUGCCAGCACGUUAUGGUGGGGACUCAGUGGAGACCGCCGGGGUCAACUCGGAGGAAGGUGGGGAUGACGUCAAGUCAUCAUGCCCCUUAUGUCCAGGGCUUCACGCAUGCUACAAUGGCUGGUACAGAGAGUGGCGAGCCUGUGAGGGUGAGCGAAUCUCGGAAAGCCGGUCUCAGUUCGGAUUGGGGUCUGCAACUCGACCUCAUGAAGUCGGAGUCGCUAGUAAUCGCAGAUCAGCAACGCUGCGGUGAAUACGUUCCCGGGGCUUGUACACACCGCCCGUCAAGUCAUGAAAGUUGGUAACACCCGAAGCCGGUGGCCUAACCGUUGUGGGGGAGCCGUCGAAGGUGGGACUGGUGAUUAGGACUAAGUCAUA